UUCUCCCUCUCUAAUCUCCCAAAAUCAUUCGUACGAGUUCUCCUCUCAUCUGUGGCGCCGGCGGCCAUCUCCAGUGGCGAAGGUGACUAUCUAUGGCGGCGACGACGCUCUCUGUGGACAACCCAACAGUAGUGAUUCUAUAUUCAAGCGUUACACGAGCAAACCGAGAGAGAGUUAUCCACCACCAUUUUCGUUGCUUUCUUCUUCCUGCGGGCUACCAGCUUCAUAGAGAAGAAGACCACAAGGUGAAUAGAAAAUCAUAUCGAAGCAAAUGGAUCAAAGAUGACACAACUCAUU